rnacentral:tRNA from 1 species
UAACCUGGCUGGCACUCUGCCGACCCCGCAUGUGCAGAGCGAGCCUCCCGGUCGCCUCCUGAAGCCACAGCGGCCCUUCCUGCCCCCAGAUGGGACCGUUCACCCUCCUCGGGAGUCUGUGGUCUGGGGGCUGCUGCACAGGCACCCCAGGGCCCACCCACUGGGCGCAGCUGGGCCCACCCACUGGGCCGCCCUCCUCCAUCCAUGGCCGGACAGCCCUUCCCCCCACCAGGGCUGCCAUCCCCGCCCUGAGCCACUGCUGGGGGCACCUGUCUGUCCCCCAAGCCUGCUGUCCUCACGUCCGGGAGCCCCCCUCCACCAGGCCCAGCACAGACAGGCGGUCAAUGUGACUGGCUGCACGAAUGGAGCCUGGGCAGGCAGGCUCCUGGAAAAUUGAGAAAGUCGUUCAAGGUCAACCAGGCCAUCCGCUGUCCCCAGGGGCUGGCCCAGGCCAGCUCCUGCGUUUCCACAUGGGGCGCUGGAGGGCCCUGGGGAAGGGGGACUCUGGGCUCCAGCCAGCACCCCUGAACUCGCUGGGCAACCUUGGGGCCCUGGUCAGCCACAGAAGUCACGGGUGGCCAAACAAGCGGCUCAGGCCUACUCCUAGGCCGCUUAGGCCCCGACCUCAGCGGCCGUCUGCCUCCAUCUGUCCCCGUCAGGCCUGGCAGCCACACGCCCGCCGGCUGCCCACCUGCCCGCACGCGCCCUCCUCCUCUCUGCCUGGCUCGCCCGUUGCUUCUGACAGCCCUAACCCUGCAGGCUCUCAACAGUGUGGGGAAGGGACAGGUGACAGAGUGGCGGGCAGGGGUGUCAGGGACCUCAAGGUCCUGCUGGGAGGGCUGGACCAGAGACCUCAAAUGUGAGACGGGCCCCAGUCCACACGGAGAGCAGGCAGAAGCAGGCCAGCCUCCUGCUGGGACGGGCUCCCUAGCCAAGCUGCGUGCCCCAGGGCCUUUGCACAUGCUGGUCCUACCCUAGUGCUCUUUCCCUGCCCUCCACACGGUCAGCUCUUCUCUCAGCUUAGCUGUCAUCUCCCAAGUGGCUCAGAUGGCAAAGAAUCUGCCUGCAGUGCAGGAGACCUGGGUUUCAUCCCUGGGUUGGGAAGAUCCCCUGGAGAAGGGAAUGGCAACCCACUCCAGCAGUCUUGCCUGGGGAAUCCCAUGGACAGAGGAACCUGGCAGACUAUAGUCCAUGGGGUUGCAAAGAGUAGGACACGACUGAGCAACUAACACUUUUCGAGUUCCUCACAGUGAGGACUGGACAAUCCCCUGAAUUGGUCCCUCAUCUGUCCGCCCAUCCUCUUGCCUUGAGUCUCUGCAGGGUGCCAGCCCCUCCCACCCCACCCACCCAGGGCUUUACUCCUUUCUGGUUCACAUGGUUACUGUCAGUUUCUACCACGGGAACUCCCUGCUUCCAGUCUUCUCUGAAACCAUCACACACCUUACGCGCCAUGAAGCUCUUUCCUAAGGCACUGUCCUUACCCCAGCUCUACCCCAGCACUGCACGUGGCUCACGGCCACCCACACAGACGAACCCUGACUCCAACACUGACUGAUUCCUGAUCCUGGUCACAUGCUGAGCCGUGACCCUGGUCAGGCUGGCCGCAUAGUUCCAGGCACAUCCCAGAAGCGAUGCCACCAGCCACUGUGCCCUGCAGACCGUUUAGCACACACCAGGCUGUGUGGACCCCGGCAGUACCUCGCCAGGUUUGGUCCCCACCCAGCCUUGUCCCCUUAGAUGUGACUCAGAGCAGUUCCUCAACCUUCCCGCGGUCACAGCCUGGCACAGGCCACAGAGCUGGGACCUGACGCUCCGGCUGCAGGCAGGGCUGGGGUUGGUGGGAUAUCAGGGUCUCACUUCCCUUCGCUUCCUUCCCUCCAGGAUCUAAGCCCUCCCUGGCUCCUGGGGUGUGACCACAGCACCCCUUCUCUUCCGUCCUCUCUGGGCCCCUUGCUCUGGACUCCAGCCCCAAGACCGCUCUGCACCCUAGGAGCGCAGCCUCCACAGGCUCAGACGGACCCCACGCCCAGUGCACAGCUCCCACUCCGAGGGCGCAGGCAGGCAGCCCCCCCCCCCCUCCCCCCUCUCCCCGCCGCCCCCCCCCCC